GGGCCAGUGGCGCAAUGGAUAACGCGUCUGACUACGAAUCAGAAGAUUCCAGGUUCGACUCCUGGCUGGCUCA
rnacentral:tRNA from 1 species